rnacentral:tRNA from 1 species
UGUUAUUUAAUUUAGUAUAAAAAUAUUUUCUAUGUGUGAAAAAUAGAAUCAGUUUACGA